GGUGUUGAUUGUCCAAACGCAAUUCUUGUGUGACUCCGCGUCCAGGAGUUGUGGAUGGACAUCAUGCCCC
rnacentral:pre_miRNA from 1 species